CAGCCUUAACGAUUCUAUGAGAACUGCCUUAAGUAGUGGGCUGGUGCUGAUGGGCAGCCUCGGCCUCCCUAAGAAGUAGCCCUUCCCCUGUGCUCCUAGCAGUAAGUGGGACAAGAGCACACAGUGGUGUACCCAAACUACUCAGUGUUGUGCCCUUGGGAAACCACUUUGAGGAAGAGAAAUGAGACCAAAAGCAACACUUAAGCACAGAACACAUGAGGACAGGCAGCUCUGAGCAUGUUUGCUCAGCACCCAGACUCAGCUGCAGCGAGGGAGCUGUGUUUAGCAGCAGCUGAUCAGCACUGACCUUAGAGCUCCCCGCUGGGAGGGAUGCCCCAGGCUCCAUCCCCACAGGCCGAGGUCGUGCUCAUGUAUCCCGUGUGGUUUGCUGUCGCUGUUUGUUUUCUUCCAGGUUCCUGCCCGUGGUUAAGAUGCGGCGAAGCACUGGGGCUCAUCCAUCAGUGACACUGGUGUCUGCCCCGCUCUGUCCCCUCUUCACGCUGCCCGGGGAGUUUUUCCCUCCCUAAAUUCAAUUAGAUGCCAUAAGGGGUCAACCCCAUUAUAGCCAUGGCUCCUCCGGGAUGGGCAGGGGGCUGUAGCCUCUCCCUCCCAUAGGAUCAGAACACAGCCCUAUAAAUAAUAAUUAAAUGUUAAAAGGAGCAGUUUUGAAGGACGCGAUCGCUCCAGUCAGUCCCAGCUGCCUCCCAUUAGAGGCAGCAGUGUGAAUACAGCCACCUGGGGCAGCUUGGGCCCCAGAGCAUUCAGUGGGCUGGUGGCACUGCUGGACAGGCAUACAGAGCAGCUGUGGGACCGCAGACUUCACCACCAGCAGCAUUGCACUGGGGUUACAUCAGUGACAGCUUAAGCCAACACAGCUUGGUUGGCUCUAAUGAAAAUGCUGAAGGUUUGGGGCCUGGAAAGGGCCCGAACCUCUGAAGCAGGGCAGUGUGAAGCACAAGCGGUGCAGAAGGAUGUGAUGCUUCUCCACAGCCAGGGGACCACAGGAGGGAUCAGAGCUACCCACCACAUGCUUCCACCACCUGGAAAUGCUCCUUGCAAGGACAAAUACCUGCAUGUCUGUACCCAGCAGCAGAAGAGAUAAAGAGGGGAAAGCUCGGCUCAGGGCAGAGCCUGAAGGAGGGUCGUGCUGCUGAGUGCACUCGCUAUCGCAGCUUGGACACAGCAUGCAUGUGGCAGACCAGCAGCUCACUGUGCUCUCUGAAGCACAACCUGCUCUCCGUGUAAUGGGAGAGGUGGGAAAAGAGAAAGGUGGAAUCAAGCACAAGUAAGCCUGAUACACAAAGCAGGAGUGAAAUCAGGUGUUCUCUAAAAAUCUGAAGUUUAUUCGUUAGAAUUCAGUGAAAGGAACAUUCAGUUUAAAACAGUCAGUACAUUAAAAAGUCGAGAGGAUGAGUAGCAAUGAGACCAGAACAAAACAGAACAGCCCCGAAUCUGGCACCUAGCAGGGCAGAGGGCAGCACACAGCCAGGCUGGAUGGGGCUCCCUGCAUGGCUGCAAUGGGGACAGAGGGGCAGAGCUGGGGCAGCUCUGCUUCCUUAGAACCUGUGGGCUCCCCUCGGUUCCCAUGUGCUGCCUGCAUUGUGGGCCCCAGGAUCAGAUGCCAGGAGAGCUGCCAUCCCACCCCGAUCCAUGCUAAGGAACCCCAACAGUGCCCCUGUUUGUUAAGAGCUGCUGAAUUGAAAGACACACAAAUCUGUGCAGAGCCAAACGUCUCAGCCUGGAACUGCCACCUCUGCUGGUGUUGGCUCAGGGGGGAAGAAGGAACAAAUCGGUUUUCAGCUUUUCAUUUUCUUUUUGCACAUGAGCGCUGGGCAUUGUUCUCUGCUCAGCUAAUCAUCAUGACCUUCUGCAGAGUUAUGUCAGCCCUUCUACCCCACACAGGGCUGCAAACUCUGCAGGGGCACUGAGUCUGGCAAACAAAGCAGCAUAUUCAUUCCAUUAAAAAAAAAAAAAUCCACAUUAACUAGUGUUGGGUCUGAGCGUACCCAGAGCUCACCUUUUGGUUGUGACCCCAAAAUUCAAGGCAAUGUUGUUCCAUUCAUUUCUACAUCACCCCACAGCAGCCAACAGCACCUCCUGCCCUGCAAUGGCUGAAGGGGACAGAGGAGAGCCUGGUUUGGGACAACAUAAUUGAAGCACACAGAGAAAUCCCAAACUGAAAUCCACACGGUUUGGGUGUUUGUUUAGUUUAAAGACAACCAACGACACUUGGAGGGAAAAAUCACCACGGUGCACAAAUUCAGAUUCAAAACAAAGCUAAGAAACAGCUGACAAGAGUGACAAACCAGUAUCAAAACAGACAUCCUGGCGGUGUCCACACAGAGCGUGCAGUGGCAGUGGAUUGGCUUCUCAUUUCUAGAGCUGCUCCUUCAGACGACACCAACCAGCACUCUGCACGGGGGAGCAACGUGGGUCUCUUGCAUUGCACAGGCAGUGGCAGCAGCAGUGACAGCAAUAAAUUGCUGUUUCUCCAUCAGAACUGUAAACCGCACCGUUUUGAAACACAUAACGUACGUAAGUAAAAGAACAGUCCAUAAAAUUUCCCCAUGAAUAUAAAAUGCAAAACUAUACAAAAAUAGAUAAAAUCGACCGUUUUCUUAUGCGUAUAUAAAAAACAAACAAACAAAGUCCCCAAAACGCAAUACAGAGCUACUUGGUAGGCUGACCUGGUCAGGGUUUGGUCGGCAGCAAACAGCCACGACCCACCUCUCCAAGGCUUUCCCUGGAUGCACUGAGCUCCGUGAGGUUUGGGGGGUGUUCCUCCAUACCUCAGCCAGACAGAGCUGCUCACCCCGAGCUGUAUGCCUCAUUUCUGUCUCCACAGACCUCUUUUGCACAAGAAUUACUGUUCUCAAGCUCAGAUUCCUUGGGUAAGUCUAUAUUUUACCAGGUUAGAAGAUGAUGGCUUGAGCCAGAAAUGAGAAGCUGCAGCCCUCAAUGAGCGGUCCGACUGCUUCUAGCUCCCAUGUGGUCCAAAGACUCAGGUGGGAAGUUCCUCCAUCACAUUUUUAGGAAAAUCAUGCUCAUUAUGAGGUCAGCAUUGGUCAAAGAGCUCCAAGAGCUCACAACCCAUAAGAGUGUUCUCCCAGGCCCCUGUCCCAUACCACAGAGCAGCCAUGGGAUCCCACUCAGUGGGACAAUAACUUGCUCUAAGCACUCCCUAUGACACCAAAUCCUCUUCUGUUUGGCUUCAACAAAGGCUGGCCACUAAGCAUUCCCAAUCAUCAACAGACAGCCUGUAGGUCAGAGAAAGGAUGAAGGACCCCUUUAAAGCUUAUCCUUUCAUUCCAAGAUGCACUGCUUCUGAAAAUGGGUUAACACCACACAAGAACGAGUAUUUCCCCCCUCUAGUGAUGUGUUAAUUUGGACUAUGCAGCUGUGAGAAAUCUCUCCCAAAGCCAUAGGUGGACAAGAUCAAGACCCAGGAGCUUGUAUUUGGCAUUCAACCUGUAGUCCCUUUGUAAAUCCCUACUAGAAAAGCAUAGUGGGAAGAUCAGGUCCUAUCUAUUCCAUAGAAGAAGGAAUACAUUAGCUACUGAAAUCCAAUCUAUGGCAGUGACAAUUUACAGACUAGGUUAGUAUAUUGAAAAUGCUUAUUUCUUUGGGUUAAUGGGGCAGAAUACUCCAAUAAUUCAAUAAAUUAUUUUUAAAAUGCUUUUAGAAACCUCAUUUUAAAUCAACAGAUACUUGAUUCGUUUAAUUCAAAUCAAAUUAAGAGGAGAAACCUUUGGUAUAAAGUCAGAUUAUCAAGUCUUGGCUGUAUUGCUUUCACACAUCAGACUAGGAACUGUUGUCCAAUAAGUCUUCCCACUACGUACCUACAACCAAAAUAAUUAUUACUACAGACAUGCAUUUGCAACGGAACAUUCAUUUUAGCACUGAGACACUUUCAUCCUUCACCAGAACUUUGGCAAAGGCUGCAUCACUUACAAACAAAACACUGCGCAAAACCCCUUUGAGCCACAAGAUGCCUUUGGUGACACACUAAAACGAGAUAAUGGUUAAAAAUUCCUGUAAGAGGCCACUGCAGAGGCCAAGCGAUUCCAGUGAGCACCUAUUUGUGUUGUGACAUCUCUGGUGUUGCUAGUGAUAACUACGGGAUCCUUUCUUUGGAAUCGGCACUGAGUUGCAGCAGAGCUUGGCUGAGCUCACGCUGAGCAAGAGGGAGUUAGGAGCAUUUGUUAGGGGAUGCUCAUGGCAUAAACACUGAAAAAUGAAGGUUAAUCCCAAGGACACACAGAUGGGUCUGCUCAAGCCUCAGGAAUCUGUUCAGAAAACAAACAAACAACAACAUACACAUAAGUGGAGCUGCCAAUAAGGAAUUCCAGCUUUGCCUUUCCCUGUUCCUUCAUGGACGUACAAGGACAGGACAGUAAGAAGCCUCAUCUCAAAAAGAAAUCAUAGGACCCAUUUUGCUUAGGAAAACAAAACAGAAAAGCUCUUCAUGCCUUGGUACCUUACAACUAGAGCAGUACCAGGGGGCUGCCCACGUUUCCAACCACAGCCACACGUGUACCUGGGCUGCAGGUGUGAGCAGCAGGCGGUGAGCUGCUCUGGGGAAGGACUCAGCUCCACACCAAUGCUGAGCAGAGCCCUGCCACCUGCAUGGCGUGCCAGGCUUUGGAGAAGGGCAUCACUGCCCUAUUUCCAGUUUGUGAUUUAUUUAAUGUUACAACCUCUGUUGCAAAGAGAAGCAGAAAAUUGGCAACUUGGGAAAAAGGACACCUAAUUCAUCAGUAACUGAAUUACAGUCAGUUGGACAGAAAUAGGAAGAAGUUUUGUAAGCCACAGAAAGUGACUCACAGAAUAUCUCAAGUUGGAAGGGGCCCCUACAGAUCAAGUCAGACUCCUGGCUCCACAGAGGAGCACCCAAAAAUCAAACCUGUGUUUGAGAGCACUGUCCAGACACUUGUUGAACUCCUGCAGCUCUCAGCCAUGCCUUCUUGGUGCCCUGCCUAUCUUUUCCGAGGAGCCUGUAACCGCCCUCACAGCACACCAGCCACAGGACUCUUCCCACCAGGUUUUGCUUACACCAAUGAUGUAGUAGUUCUGGGACUGAGCCAAGGCUUUUAGCUCUUCUUGCUUGUUCCUUGCAGGGUGUGUGUUGGUGUAGAAGCAUUUCAGAUGUGCUUCAUCAUACCCAGCACCUCGUGGAGCAGAAUGAAGGACCUCAGCAGCACACAGCCCCUCUGAUUGUGGCGUGCCACCCCACAGUUCAUCACCAGUGAUGUGGGUGAGCUUGAGCUGGGCUAUUUGGCUUCUCCCCUCAACUUCAACACUGCCAGCCUGCACUACCAAAAGCAGGUAAUAACCGGAGAGCUGUACGAGACCAGGGAGCUUCCUGGUGAUGUCCAUGACCCAGGCCCCAGGUUGGCAGCAGACUUUCUUGUGGGAAAGGGUCUGGUCAGCACAUUGAGCCCUCAGUUCCCCUUAGAACAGAGUCCCCUAUGACAAUCACCCUUCUUCUGUUCCUGGCAAAGGCAGUUUUGGGGUUUCUGGGUGACUGACUCACCCUACAGAAUCUCCUGGAUGGAUGUUCACCAACAUCUUCAUCUGCCUCUCUUAAGUUCCAGAGCUGCAUACCUAUUGUGCAACAGCACCUGGGAAGGCAAGGUCCUUUCCUUCUGCUUGACGGCAAGAGGCUAUGACUCUGCAAAAGGUCCCUGGCACACAGCUCUGCUCUGAAGCUGAUCAGCUCGAGGGAAGGUUUGGUUUAGAGACUAACGUGCUUCAGAUCAACGUGGACACUGAGAACUUCUUCAGGAAAGAUGUCAGCUCUGCUCUGCUAUCCUCAAACAGGUGCUUCCAAGAGCUCUGACAACCUCCUCAGAACGUUGGUCUGCCACUCUUGUGUUCCUUCUCCACAUUUGUUCAAAAGAGAAAUUAAAAAAAGAAAAUCAAAAGCCUGCAGCAAUCUUCGGCAUUUUUGUUCCCUCCCGUUAGAAGGAAGAAGUUACGAAGCCUAAUUUAGGCUGUGAUACAUCCUGUAUUCCAAUUAAUAGAAUACUUUCCUCAUAUGAGUUUAUAUAAAGAAAAUAAACACAAAAUGUAAAACAAAAAGCAACACAGCAACAGCAACUUUACAGCUAGAGGCCCAAUGCAAGUUUAGCUUAUUUAAGAGAAGUCAUACACGUGCCCUUGGCCUGGGAGAGGCUGGGGAUGAGGUACAAAGCGUAGGAAAGGCUUCCGCUGGAAAUUAAACACCAUGAAGAAAGACCAUGACAGAGAAAAGGGACUGACACUUUGUUCUUGAAAGGGAAUCCAUCAAUAGAACAUCUCUCUGCACACUGUAUUCUUGAGCACAUUAAAGCUAGAACUGGAAAACAUUAUCAGCACGAACACAAACACUCCUACUUUCCUUUCAGGCAGGAAAAAAAAGUUACAGUGAAGUUCCCCUCGCAGCUGAACUGCCCCCUGUCCUUGCUCUUAAAAUAACUUGCAUCCUUCCUCUGCAGCUCCCCAAAUCAAGAUCAAGACGGAAGAUGUUAAAAGCUUGUCAAAAAAAAAAAAAAAAAAAAAAAA